CUCAAUCGGGGAAUUGCUCGGCGAACUAUACUUCUUGGGGCAAAUAGGGGUGCGUGGAACUCUUGGUGGAGCGGUGGAAUGCGUAGAUAUCAAGAGGAACGCCUGUGGCGAAAGCGACGCACUGGAUUUGUCCUGACGCUCAAGCACGAAAGCGUGGGUAGCGAACGGGAUUAGAUACCCCGGUAGUCCACGCUGUAAACGAUGUCUACUAGAUUGCGGGUGUUCUGACACAUUCGCGAUCGAAGCAAAAGUGUUAAGUAGACCGCCUGGGAAGUACGGUCGCAAGGCUAAAACUCAAAGGAAUUGACGGGGGCUCACACAAGCGGUGGAGCAUGUGGAUUAAUUCGAAGCAACGCGAAGAACCUUACCUGGGUUUGACAUGCUUGGAUGCCGUCCUGGAAACAGGAUUGGUUGCCCUUCGGGGUGAAACU
rnacentral:rRNA from 1 species